rnacentral:SRP_RNA from 1 species
GCCGGACGAGGUGGCGAGCAUCUGUCGUCCCAGCUACUCGGGAGGCUGAGGCAGGAGAAUGGCGUAAACCCGGGAGGCAGAGCUUGCAGUGAGCCGAGAUCCGGCCACUGCACUCCAGCCUGGGCGACAGAGCNNNNNNNNNNGAGAUGGAGUCUAGCUCUGUCGCCCAGGCUGGAGUGCAGUGGCCAGAUCUCAGCUCACUGCAAGCUCCGCCUCCCGGGUUCACGCCAUUCUCCUGCCUCAG